rnacentral:rRNA from 1 species
CUAUUAUUCUCCGUAAGGGGUUUAGUAGCUAAUGAUGUCAAACUUCCAAGAAAAGCUCUAACAUCAAUACAACAGAAUUCCUGUACCUGAAACCGACACAGGUAGGUUGGUAGAGAAUACCAAGGGGCGCGAGAGAACUCUCUCUAAGGAACCCGGCAAACUGGCCCCGUAACUUCGGAAGAAGGGGCACCCUCUGCAAAGGGGGUCGCAGUGACCAGGCCCUUGCAACUGUUUAUCAAAAACACAGGUCUCCGCAAAGUCGUAAGACGAUAUAUGGGGGCUGACGCCUGCCCAGUGCCGGAAGGUUAAAGAAGUUGGUCAUUACGUAAGUAAAAAGCUGACGACUGAAGCCCCGGUGAACGGCGGCCGUAACCAUAACGGUCCUAAGGUAGCGAAAUUCUUUGUCGAGUAAGUUUCGACCUGCACGAAAGGCGUAAUGAUAAGGGCGCUGUCUCAGAGAGAGACUCGGUGAAAUAGACUUGUCCGUGAAGAUGCGGACUACCUGCACCUGGACAGAAAGACCCUAUGAAGCUUGACUGUAUCCUGGAAUGGGGUUUGGGCUUUUCUUGCGCAGCCUAGGUGGGAGGCUAUGAAGGUGUUCUUCCGGGAACGCCAGAGCCGUCAUUGAGAGACCACUCUGGAAGAGCUAGAAUCCUAAUGGUGAUCCUUGAAUCAGGACGCUUGACAGUUUCAGGUGGACAGUUUUACUGGGGCGGUAGCCUCAUAAACGGUAACUGAGGCGUGCAAAGGUUCUCUCAGCCUGGACGGAAAUCAGGCAUAGAGUGUAAAGGCAGAAGAGAGCUUGACUGCAAGACCUACAAGUCGAGCAGGGGCGAAAGCCGGUCUUAGUAUCCGACGGUGCCGUGUGGAAGGGCCGUCGCUCAACGGAUAAAAGUUACUCUAAGGAUAACAGGCUGAUCUUCCCCAAGAGUCCACAUCGACGGGAAGGUUUGGCACCUCGAUGUCGGCUCAUCACAUCCUCGAUCUGCAGUAGGUUCGAAGGGUUGGGCUGUUCGCCCAUUAAAGUGGUACGUGAGCUGGGUUCAAAACGUCGUGAGACAGUUUGGUCCAUAUCCGGUGUAGGCGUUAGAGUAUUGAGAGGAUUUGCACCUCGUACGAGAGGACCGGUGUGAACGCGUCUAUAGUGUACCAGUUCUCAUUCCAAUGGGAAACGCUGGGUAGCCACGCGCGGGUAGAUUAGCGCUGAAAGCAUCUAAGUGCGAAGCUAACCUCAAGAUGAGUACUCUCCAUUAGGUCGCGGCAAGACCAGCCGUUUGAUAGGCGUCAAGUGUAAGGUCAGCAAUGGCUUCAGCUGAGGCGUACUAAAGACCAA